CUUUCUGUCAAAUUACUCAUAAGUUGGAUGAUCCAUUACUUACUGGGUAUGACCCAUAGAUUUGUAACACUCAAUCAUGCUUUACCACAUGCAAGAUCCGGUUUCUCACGGGUCAUCCAACCAGAUAUUUGAAAAUCAGCAGUUCAAACUCUGCAUAAUUUCAGGCUCCUAUAAGUCAAAUAAAUAACUGCUUUCCAUAAUCUUUGAAGGACAGUUUACACACACGUUAUUUUCUUUGUUUCACAUUUGCAUCUUCUCCAGAUUUCUAAAUCUUCAUUGUCGUCGAUGAUCGAACAGGGUGCAUCUCCAGUGUUUUCGUUUGAUUGUGUCAUAGCCGUUGUCGUUUCUUUUUGUUUUCUGUGAAUGGGUUUUAACUGGUUGUUUAGACAAAUUUGCGAGCAGAUCGUAAGCGCGUCCCUUUCGGUGUGGUUUCGCCUUCGUCUGAUUCUGGCGUUACACAUGUCAUUGGUCCAAAUCCGUGAAUCAGAGUGAUGCAUUCAAGCUCACAACACCAGCACAAGCCAGGGAGAAGACUUUAUUGCAAGAGAGUGUAGAUCAGAUAUAUUUCCACCACCAUAUAGUUCAUAUCUAAGUUUUUAAUUUUUGGAGCUAUGGAAUGGCCGCGUACUGUCUUGGAACAGAAGGCAGAGGAAAUUAAAUGUUUUUUUCACGGUUUCUGUUAUACUAACUACCAAGCAUGUCCUAUGCCUAUCCUCAAGUUUGCACUAUUAGUCCUAAUCUUUAGUGCGUAGUUACAUCAGGCUGUCACUGUUGCAUACGCUGUAUACCUGCACAAGAUCAGUGUACACCUUCAACCCGCAGUGGAUAAAUAUGUGGGUUAUGUUGUAUACCGUGUCCGUGUAAAACAUGGUGGACGCAAGAGACCUGUUCAGGGGUACUGUGUAUGGAAAGCCAACAAACCAAGGUGUGACUCAGCUGUAAUUUCAGCGCAGCAAGCAAUCAGUUGCUGAGGAAUGUGCUGGCCGAAAACUUGCUAGCCUAAAGGUUGCAUCCAUAGACAUUUCUGAUCAGUUUCAUCUUCAUCUUGAAUGGUUGAUUUUCAUCAAAGAUUGUAUUCUAUAUGGUGAUUUGAGCGUAUGGAUCUGACAGGCCGAAAAUAGAAUUCUCAUAGUCCGUUGUCUCUUUUUUGGACAAAAAUGAUACCCCGCGGCAUUACUUAUCUCUCAAUUCCAAAGGGAUGUUGGCAGUUGUUCAGGGAUAUUGCGAUUCUCACAAGUAGUUUGUCUUUUUCAUGAGUUUAUUCAUGUGGUCCAUCAUAUUUGCAAUCGUGCAUCAUUUCCUAAUUUUUUUCAGGCUUCGCCUUGACCCUGACUUUGUAGAGAAUCUGGUGUUAUGAUAACAUAGCUCUAAAGAUAUCUGGUUUAUCAUCAGAUAAGUUAACUUCGGUACAAGGAUGAAAAAUUUAGUAGGUGAAUGGAUGUGAAUGGAUCACAAUGUUGAAGUGGUCAGAACCAGAAGAUCCACUUGAGUCACCUGGUUCCAACUUUUGCAGCAUAUAUAGAAACAUAUACAAGCAUAAUCACCGUCGCAUUUGAAACAGCCUUCCUAAGAAGAGCUUAUAUUUAGACUGCAGUCCUCCGCAGAUUGCUGCCACAGACCAAGUUUAGAGUAUUUAGACCAGCAAACAGCCGUGUUGCAAUAGAGUAUGGAAUUGCAGAGAUUAUGUUUCAGGCCUUCUCAUAUGCUUUUCCAUAUGAUGCAUUCACCUGGCCGAAGAAAGACAUGGAGAUAUACUGGGUCAUCUUCUCUAUGCUGCUAAAUUAGCGGCAGAGAAAGAAGGUAUCGUGGAUGGAUUUCGUAUACUGAGUAACAAUGGACCUGCUGCAGCCUGCAUGCAAGUUGAUACAACUUACAAGCCACAGUUGCCUUCAUUAAACUCUUACUCAUAGACUAAGUAUAAGAGUCUUAGUCAGUAAUUUUUAGUUACAUUGUUGUCAUGAUUGAUCUUUGAUUCAGAGAGCUUUAGGAACUGGCCGAAGCACCGAAAAAUAUCCUCCAAAGCUGGAUUAGCGACAGGUUCUUGCUGUCAAGAUUCUGCAUGAAAGUUGACAUGGAGAUUGUAGGUCAAUUAUUUAUGAGAUGGUUGUUUCUUUUGCACAACUGUACUAACAAUUCUAAUUCGGUUCCUGUCUUUUUGCAAAUGGAAAGUUUUCACAUAUUUCUCAGACAAUUUUAAAAUUUAUGUAUAUAAUAAUUUCCUCUAUUGAUUUAUUGCAUGAAAUUUUGAGAUUCA